GUGGUAAAAAAAAUUGGCUUACGCCAGGUGAGAGUGGGCCAACUGGACGAAUGGGAUGUGAAGUCGUGGGAAGAUGUUCUUGUGCUGCUGAAGCAAAUUAUGCUGAAAGUCACUGCAACAAUAAGUAUUUUAGCACGGAAUUUGCGUACUCAUCUGCCUGCCAGAACUGAGUAUACGUCCCAAUUUUAGUUCGGACUUUCUUCUCAGUCUUUUUCAGCAUCUCCAGGAAAGACGCUUCAGCUGCAGACUUUUGUUCCUCGUCAUGACAGAAAAUGAAGGACGAGUACUGGACAGCAGGAGAGUUACCGGAUUUUACCACACUUGCCUGACUCAAUAUAAAUGGUUGAAAGCUUUGGCAUCAAACCUGAUGUGGAUUUUCUAGAGUCCAGUCAUGAUAGUCCCAAAAUAAUUCCAAGAGACGUUGAUAAGUGACUCGGUCAGGGUCAAACUGCAAACUCACUGCCUCAAUGUGAUCCUUUCUUGCCUCCGGUGAACCCUACUCGUACACGGAUGACUCCCGGGAUUGCUCCGAAGCGGGCAGCAGGUCCCCAAUGACUCCCCAUUGCAAAGGUGGCUGGGUUUCCCAUGAUUUCCUCCCACUCAGCGUCACACUUGUUAGAGCUCAAUUCCUAGAACACCAGUACCGUGGCCUUGAAGUUAGUUUGCCAAACGUCUUUGCUCUUGCAACAGCCCAUCACACAAGAACAGGAACAAGAACAAGAACGAGACGUGCUAGAAAUUCUUCGCUGUCCUUGUCCGAGGACUGCUCUAGAGGGAAUGCAAUUAUCAGACAAAUAAUCCAACAUUUCGAACUAUACAAAAUAAAAAUAUAUGCAUUACUUAUUAGGCAAAUGUUACCACGAUACGCUCCAGUAUAUAGACGCCAAGGAGAAAGAAAUAUGAAAUGCCACCACGAUUGGUUGGUUAGAGUACCAUAAUAAUAAGUGGGCAGUAGAGGAAAAAUCCGAUGUUGAUGGGUUGGGAAAACCAUUAAAUACUUUGGACAAUUAGUCAAGAUCACUAUUCGGCCCCUUAAAAGUUAUUUUUUUUACAUAAAUUGACAUUAUUUAAAAUAUAAAAUAAUUCU